GGCCAUCAGUGGCGGACUGGCCAUCGGGACGUUCGGGACGAAUCCCGAUGGGCCGGUCGGGCCACUCGGCCCACUUCGGUACCGGCAGGGGCGGACUGACCAUCUGUAGAAUCACCGAACGGCCGGGUCGGUUUGCUGUUUUUAAACGGCAUCAUUGAAGUUAAGCUGACAGGCGACAGAGGUCCACCGUUUCCCAGUCCGCCCCUGCCGGCCAUCAUCUACUCUAGGGAGUUCUCCCCUGACAGCUGGACACUACAUGAUAGCAGAGGACCAGACCAUCGUCAGUGGCAGUGUCCUGAAUGUUGUCGACGCCCUGAUGCUGAUGUUUGCAGCAUAUUACUGCCUCAACAUCAGUUAUCGCUCAGAACUGGGAGCUACCCUGGAGUUCUUGCAGAGGUGCCUAUUCAAGAUCAAUCCGGACAAUGGGACUAGAGUGGAGAGGAAGGAAUACAAACAAAAACAGCACUCGAUAAAGAUAAAGAUUUCAUGAAGUUUGCUGACGACACGAC